GAGUUUGAUCCUGGCUCAGGAUGAACGCUGGCGGCGUGCUUAACACAUGCAAGUCGAACGGACUCAUAUUGAAACCUAGUGAUGUAUGAGUUAGUGGCGGACGGGUGAGUAACGCGUGGAGAACCUGCCGUAUACUGGGGGAUAACACUUAGAAAUAGGUGCUAAUACCGCAUAAGCGCACAGCUUCGCAUGAAGCAGUGUGAAAAACUCCGGUGGUAUACGAUGGAUCCGCGUCUGAUUAGCUGGUUGGCGGGGUAAAGGCCACCAAGGCGACGAUCAGUAGCCGGCCUGAGAGGGUGAACGGCCACAUUGGGACUGAGACACGGCCCAAACUCCUACGGGAGGCAGCAGUGGGGAAUAUUGCACAAUGGGGGGAACCCUGAUGCAGCGACGCCGCGUGAGUGAAGAAGUAUUUCGGUACGUAAAGCUCUAUCAGCAGGGAAGAAAAUGACGGUACCUGACUAAGAAGCCCCGGCUAACUACGUGCCAGCAGCCGCGGUAAUACGUAGGGGGCAAGCGUUAUCCGGAUUUACUGGGUGUAAAGGGAGCGUAGACGGCAGCGCAAGUCUGGAGUGAAAUCCCAUGGCUUAACCAUGGAACUGCUUUGGAAACUGUGCAGCUAGAGUGCAGGAGAGGUAAGCGGAAUUCCUAGUGUAGCGGUGAAAUGCGUAGAUAUUAGGAGGAACACCAGUGGCGAAGGCGGCUUACUGGACUGUAACUGACGUUGAGGCUCGAAAGCGUGGGGAGCAAACAGGAUUAGAUACCCUGGUAGUCCACGCUGUAAACGAUGAUUACUAGGUGUUGGGGGACCAAGGUCCUUCGGUGCCGGCGCAAACGCAUUAAGUAAUCCACCUGGGGAGUACGUUCGCAAGAAUGAAACUCAAAGGAAUUGACGG
rnacentral:rRNA from 1 species